UUUCUUCUCCCCUCCUCCCAAUUAUACUCUUCAGUUUUUUUUUUCAUAUUUACAGUGGUAUGUCGGGAACAUGGUGCCUAUUAAUGACACCAGAAUGCAUAUAUUCAUAUUACUCUUCUUUUUUCUGGAGAGAGGCAGAGACGAAUUAAGGAUCGAAGUGCUACUUGUAAUGGAAUGAAAGGGAGAGAAAGAAACAGAAAGUAGAUGUGCACACCCUUGCAGCAAGUUGAUUUUGAUUGUUUCUGUACAAGUAACUUUCCUUCCUCAGUGAUUUUGAUUGUUUCGCUCUCUUCCUCCUGAUGGGCCCUGGAGCAACGAUUUGAUGUUGGCUCGAUUGCGUUGUUCUGAUUCACGACAGUAUCAGUUGGAUGGCCCAGAUUUUGAACUCGAAGCAAGGGUGUCUUCUCGUCUAGAUGCGCUGUCCUACUCUUCUACCAACAUUUUUGGUAGUACUGCUCAAGCCCUCCAAUCAUUUUGGGAUGGAGUGAAUCUACUUGGGGAAAGUUUACGGACAAACAGUAGAUAUCAAAGAGAGAUCCAGCAUUUUGUGUGGUUGCAGAGAAAUUCCGUCUCCCUUCCUGAUCGAUCAACCUAUGGCCAGUAGAAGGUCAUUUUCAAGGCAACAUAUUGGCUUCGUCUGUGGGCACAGUUACAAAAGUGUGAUGAAGAUGCAGAUUUCUUAAUUGUUGCAUGUCGUAAGGUUGAAACGAUGGUUAUGCAACUGUUUGCCAAUCAUGGAUGGAGAUUUACCAAUAAACUGGAAUAAUGUUAUUUUGUCUAGUUUGGUUGGUGUGUUUGCUUCUAUUUGAACUUCACUCUUACAGAGUGCUAGUUUGUAAUAAUUGGCUGUAACUCUUUCGAAUAAAGGUCGGGAUGCUAUUUCAUUCCAUUA